UACGAAGGGUGCAAGCGUUAAUCGGAAUUACUGGGCGUAAAGGGCUCGUAGGCGGCCAACUAAGUCAGACGUGAAAUCCCUCGGCUUAACCGGGGAACUGCGUCUGAUACUGGAUGGCUUGAGUUCGGGAGAGGGAUGCGGAAUUCCAGGUGUAGCGGUGAAAUGCGUAGAUAUCUGGAGGAACACCGGUGGCGAAGGCGGCAUCCUGGACCGACACUGACACUGAGGAGCGAAAGCCAGGGGAGCAAACGGG
rnacentral:rRNA from 1 species